UUGGACCUGAUAUCAGGCAAGAUUACCCGCUGCUGAA
rnacentral:rRNA from 1 species